GACGAACGCUGGCGGCGUGCCUAAUACAUGCAAGUAGAACGCUGAAGGAGGAGCUGGCUUCUCCGGAUGAGUUGCGAACGGGUGAGUAACGCGUAGGUAACCUGCCUGGUAGCGGGGGAUAACUAUUUGGAAAACGAUAGCUAAUACCGCAUAAUAGCAGUUAUUGCAUGAUAACUGUUUGAAAGGUGCAAUUGCACCACUACCAGAUGGACCUGCGUUGUAUUAGCUAGUUGGUGGGGUAACGGCUCACCAAGGCGACGAUACAUAGCCGACCUGAGAGGGUGAUCGGCCACACUGGGGACUGAGACACGGCCCAGACUCAUACGGGAGGCCAGCAGUAGGGAAUCUUCGGCAAUGGACGGAAGUUCUGGACCGAGCAACGCCGCGUGAGUGAAGAAGGUUUUCCGGAAUCGUUAAGAGCUUUUUUUUGAGAAGUGUGGAGAAGGUUUU
rnacentral:rRNA from 1 species